CAAUUUACCUGGCAGAGGAGAUUCCAUAAUCACCAAGGUGGUUUUCCAGGACAAGGCUUACCCCUUGCAUUUUGGGUGUGCUGACCCCUGUGAUUUCCCCUAACGUGGGAAACUCAACUGCAUAAUCUGUAGUAGUGGGGGACUGCAUUCAUGCUCUCACCUG